rfam:Tetranychus urticae London genomic scaffold, scaffold_21
GGUUUCGUGGUGUAACGGUUAGCACCUAGGACUUUGAAUCCUAAGAUCCGAGUUCAAAUCUCGGCGAAACCU